CCUCAUUUUGUUCUAACCAAUCCCCCGGCCCCCAAAAGGUCCCAUGGUUCCCCACCGGCGGCCGCCCCUCCCAAAUAAGUGGACUCCCACUCGCCCAUAGAGCCACUGCAAAGCUCUCUUGCGGUCUCUGUCUCUUCGGUUCCCUUCACCACCAUGUCUCGCCACCGGAGACAAGCGUCGCAGGCGCUGCCUGUGGCGUUUGAUGUCGCUGAAGAGGAGCCACCCAAGGGCCGAUGCGAGGGGGGCGUGGCCAGCGGCGCCGGCGCCGGCGCCACGGUUCGUGCCGAUGUUGCUGCGGCUGCGGCUGUCGAUGCUCAGACUAGGGUGCCGCUCCCAAGCGGGCGCCCCGCGGGGGCUAAAUCGGAGAAGAAGCCAUCUGAUGGUGGUUCCUGAGGACGCCAUGAUUCAGUGUGAGUUUGAUCGUUUUGAGUGCUUGUGAUUGUUCCAGUCUUCUUCCACUAUGAGCUUCCUUUUUAGUUUUACCUAUCUAUAUAUGUUUGAUCUUUCUUUUUGGACAACUUCUCUUCUUUUGUUUUCUCUCUCUCUCUCUCUCUCUAAGCCAGUCUAUCAAGAGGCUGGUGCUUGUCUAAGUUUUGUGCUGUUCUCUUUGAGUGGAAGUACUUUGCGGGGUUUUCUUGGAUUGAGGCUUGUUAGCGAAUGAUCAGUGGGUGGUGUGAUAUGUUUCACCUGAAGAGCAUGUGAAACUUAGAAGGAGCCUCAGUAAAUUUUCUUUUGUCAUUCA